rnacentral:tRNA from 1 species
GAUGUAACUCAGUGGUGCAGCACCUGCCUGGCAAGCAGGAGGCCCUGAAUUCAAGGCCCUGAGUUCGAUUCUCAGUAUC